AUGGAGGCGGCUCUAGUGACUGUGGCGACGGGGGUCCUCAAACCUGUCCUCAGGAAGCUGGCCACCCUGCUCGGCGACGAGUACAAGCGUUUUAAGGGUGUGCGCAAGGAGAUCGGGUCUCUCACUCAUGAACUCGCCGCCAUGGAGGCUUUUCUCCUCAAGAUGUCGGAGGAGGAGGAGGAUCCCGAUGUGCAGGGUAAAGUCUGGAUGACUGAGGUGCGGGAAUUGUCCUAUGAUCUGGAGGAUGCCAUCGAUGACUUCAUGCAAAGUGUUGGUGACAAAGACGAAAAGCCAGAUGGCUUCAUUGAGAAGAUCAAGAGCUCGCUAGGGAAGUUGGGGAAGAUGAAGGCUCGCCACCAAAUCGGCAAGGAGAUUCAGGAUCUGAAGAAACAGAUCAUUGAGGUGGGCGAUAGGAACGCAAGGUACAAGGGUCGUGAGACCUUCUCCAAUACCAAAAAUGCGACCGUUGACCCUAGAGCUCUUGCUGUAUUUGAGCAUGCAUCGAAGCUUGUUGGAAUCGAUGAACCCAGGGCUGAGUUGAUCAAGUUGUUAACUGACGACGAUGGAGUUGCAUCAACACAACAACACGUGAAGAUGGUCUCCAUUGUUGGAUCGGGAGGAAUGGGCAAAACAACUCUUGCAAACCAAGUGUAUCAAGAGCUAAAAGAGAAAUUCAAGUGUAAGGCUUUCAUAUCUGUAUCACGAAAUCCAGAUAUGACGAAUAUCUUGAGAACCAUUCUCAGUGAAGUCAGUGGCCAAGCUUAUGCUAGCACAAAAGCAGGGACUAUACAACAACUCAUCGGCAAGAUCACCAAUGUUCUAGCACACAAAAGGUAUUUUGUUGUUGUUGACGAUAUAUGGGCUGUGGAUACAUGGGAUGUUAUUAAGUGUGCAUUCCCCAUAACAUGUUCUGGCAGUAUAAUAAUCACCACUACUCGUAAAAGUGAUGUCGCAGAUUUAUGUCGGUCAUCAUGUAGUGGUUGUAUCUAUAAUAUGAGGGCACUUGAUGUGGUGCAUUCAAGGCAACUAUUUCACAGAAGACUGUUUGAUUCCAAUGAAGAUUGCCCUCCGAACCUUCAAAAAGUUCUUGAUGAAAUUUUAAAAAAAUGUGGUGGCUUACCUUUGGUGAUCAUUGGCAUAUCUGGUUUGUUGGCUAUCACGGAAAGAACAGAACAUAUGUGGAAUCAGGUGAAAGAUUCAAUUGGUCGUGCACUUGAAAGGAAUCCUGGUGUUGAAGCAAUGAUAAAGAUAUUGUCACUUAGCUACUUUGAUCUUCCUCCCCAUCUAAAAACAUGUCUCUUGUAUUUGAGUAUAUUUCCGGAAGAUUCUGUUAUUGAGAAGAGAGCCCUAAUAUGGAGAUGGGUUGCUGAGGGAUUCAUUCACAAAGAUGGCAGAUACACAACAUAUGAGUCAGGAGAGAGGUGUUUUAAUGAGCUCCUCAAUAGGAGUUUGAUCCAAGUUGCAUGCACAAAUGAAUAUGGUAAGGUGGAGAGCUGUCGAGUUCAUGACAUAAUUCUUGAUUUCAUCAUAUCAAAGUCAAUCGAAGUGAACUUUGUCACUUUAAUUGGUGUUCCGUAUAUAACUAGCAGGACGCAAAGCAAAGUUCGUCGGCUCUCUCUCUCCAAGUUGAUGAGGAAGGAAAUUCAAUAA
rnacentral:rRNA from 1 species